GUAUCAUUUCCAAGUGCAAAGCUCUGCAGUUAGACUGCAGGAGCUCAGCAGCUGAAGAAGAUCUCAUUAAAAGAUGCCACGACUCACCGAAAUCCACAGAGGAAAAGAAAACAAAAACAACACAAAAAUGCUUCAAUUUAAAAGUUUAAAUAUGCUCCCUUUUAUGGUAUUGUUCUCUUUUUUGCACACAGUUACAGGCUCUCGCUGUAACAAAUUUCUGUAGUUUUCACAGCAUUAUUACUGUAAAACGGGAACAUGCUUACUGUAGAACCUGUAUACAGCAUGUUACUGUAGAUCUGCAAAGCAUCAUGGUCAAUUUUCAAUGGCGGGUAAUUUCCACAGUAAAAAUAUGUUUUUUUCUUCUGUGAAUCACAAUACAGCAAUUUCUAGAGGAUUUUUUUUUUCCAGCCACUAGAUUCCACACUUUCAUCAGAAUUUUACCUUCAGAAAGGUAACUUUGCUGAUUUAUUUCCACAGUUUACUCUAGUCAAGUUAACUAUUUGUUCAACUAAUUUAUUAUUUAUUAUUUAUUAUUAUUUUUUCAAGAGUGCACUGAGAGGGAGAGAGGUAAAAGAGCGGGACACUUCCUAGUAAACUCAUGUCUUGUGUGCAUUUUAUUACCAAAAAUUUUUUUUGCAUAAUUUAGAUCGAUUUUCUAAUCUGGCAACAUUCGAUAAUGUCAUCAGUUUAGAGAAGGAUAGCAUUGUUGAAUAAAAAUUAAAUUGGAAUUGUGUAUGUGAUUGUGACUGUUGGUGCACUAGCCGGAGUUUUCUCUGGCCAGCUAACGUCAACUGUCACCGCCGACACCGUGUGCAUGCGCGUGAAGCAGUGAAGCCAGCCAAGCCGACUCCAGAGACUCGACAGAAAACACAGUUAAAGGUAAGACUUUAGACAUUUUUCAUAGGUUCAUCAUUUUUCUGAACUUCAUCGCAAGUCCCACCGCAGAAACGAGAUUGUUGAUAGUCUAAUUUGAAGUGCCAUUCCCGACAUGUGGGAGCAUAUAUUGUAUAAAGAUUUGUCUUCUCUGCCAACAUUAACAUACAUUUAUAACGUCUUCAAUUUGAUUAAAGAGUAACGUUUAGCAUUGUUGAAUAAAAUGUAUUUGAGAUUGUGUAUUUGAUGUAUGUGCUGACGCGGUAGCUGUUUGAAUAAUCUCACUCUUUUUUUUGUUUUCGUUUUUUUUUUUUUUUGGCUUGCUAACGUUGGUGCCUAAAGAAUCAGACAUUUAAGCGGGCCGAUUUGAAAGUUUUAUUAAUUCGAGAGUUUUAUUCAUGACACGUGGAAGCUUAAUAAUAUACUCGCCCUGUAUUAAGAUUUUUUGAGAUAUUAGUCGUUCUUUUAUUUGCCAUUUGGUUCAUUUCUUACAGUAAAGAGGCCUCAAGAAUCAAUCCAGGUACAUAAAUAACAUGAAAUAGCAUUUAUACAAUGUUUUUCAAAUGGAAACAAUGUUGUUUCUCUUCAGACACAAUCCCUAGAAAGUGCACAUAAAACGUGCAAACAUUAAGACAUUUUUGCGUUACAGACACACAUGUACCGAUAUUACUCAAAACCUAAACCAGCUAAUGUUAGAUCUCAAAAUUGUGUAUUGCCACACACUUUCUCUUAUGAAUAUUGUACUUAUGAUUUCUAAAAGUGUUUUUUCUGGUUAUUUUGUGUUUAGGAAACUUCCCCCCAAGCAGACGUUGAGGCCCAGAUUUCCCUGCCAGGCACUCUUAAGACUCAUCAUGCUCGGUGUGCUGGACUUUAAACUUUGGUUUCAACAAGGACUUUUGUUUUCAUGCUUAUUUUGGGGUUUUCCAAUGGUUUCCUGUUUUAAAGAGGAAGUAGGCCAUAUUCCUUCAGUGGUUUAGUUGUGCAAGGUACUCCAUGUGGUUGAAAACAUAUAUCUUCAUCUUGAAAGCCCUUUGAAAUGCAAUAUCUUUUCAAACUUUUCAUGAUUAAACCUCAUACAUUGCACCUUCAUGGAGUUUAUUGUGGAAGUGUUUAGUGGCUGGAUAACUGGAUCCAUUAAAACAGUGAGGCCAGUGACACUCGGAGAGUCCAUUCUAGGGGCAUACAGGUGGAUGCUUUCCAUAGAGGGCAGAGUUCUCCAGAGUGACCGUUCCGAAUUCACUUCUGCUCUGGCUGUCCUUUUUGUAUCAUACUAUAUAUUUAACAUGAAAUAUCCUGUGGAGGCAGCCACUACAUUAGAAUUUAUCCAGAGGGUAGAAGACUCCUAACUGACUAAUUCAGGCCCGUUUCUGAAGAAAAAUACAGUUCUGGUAGAAAAACAACAUUCAGGGACCAAAUUCUACUAUUUGAAAUCCUGCUGUUUUUAAAUAAUUUAAUUUGCCUUUUAUACAUUCUAGUUUAACCUAACAUUUUAAUACAUUUGAACAGGAUUGAUUUGUAUGUUCAGAAAAGUGUUCUUGUACACAAAACAAAAUGAAAUGUUAAAAGAAAAAUGUUUACCUAUUGAAUUAUUAUUAUUUAUUUUUUUUUGCAAUGCUAUUUUUAUUUUAUUUAUAGAAAUUAAGUUUGAAAAGUUAUCAAUAAAUUUCAUUUUUGUGGCAAAAACACUGUCUUCAUUUUACAGUACACAAACUUAAUGCUGUAAUCCUUAUUACAGUAGUAUAAUAUGUGAGGUGAUGAAACACAGCACUGUGAUUAUUACUGUAAAAAAGUUUACAGUAUUUUUAAAGUUACUGCAAUUCAGUUUACAGUACAGCAUACUGUGAAAUGAACUACAGCAACUUACUAGCUAAUUGCUGCCAGCAAGUUACUGUAACUUUCACAGUAUUCUUUUUACAGUGCUCGUUACUCUUCUUCAAGCUAUGUAUUCUGGUAGGGAUUUUCAAAUACUCACU